rnacentral:rRNA from 1 species
GGGUUGUGAGGUUAAGCGACUAAGCGUACACGGUGGAUGCCCUGGCAGUCAGAGGCGAUGAAGGGCGUGCUAAUCUGCGAUAAGCGCCGGUAAGGUGAUAUGAACCGUUAUAACCGGCGAUACCCGAAUGGGGAAACCCAGUGUGAUUCGUCACACUAUCAUUAACUGAAUCCAUAGGUUAAUGAGGCGAACCGGGGGAACUGAAACAUCUAAGUACCCCGAGGAAAAGAAAUCAACCGAGAUUCCCCCAGUAGCGGCGAGCGAACGGGGAGGAGCCCAGAGCCUGAAUCAGCAUGUGUGUUAGUGGAAGCGUCUGGAAAGGUGCGCGAUACAGGGUGACAGCCCCGUACACAAAAGCGCAUGUGCUGUGAGCUCGAUGAGUAGGGCGGGACACGUGAUAUCCUGUCUGAAUAUGGGGGGACCAUCCUCCAAGGCUAAAUACUCCUGACUGACCGAUAGUGAACCAGUACCGUGAGGGAAAGGCGAAAAGAACCCCGGCGAGGGGAGUGAAAAAGAACCUGAAACCGUGUACGUACAAGCAGUGGGAGCACAGGUUUACCUGUGUGACUGCGUACCUUUUGUAUAAUGGGUCAGCGACUUAUAUUCUGUAGCAAGGUUAACCGUAUAGGGGAGCCGUAGGGAAACCGAGUCUUAACCGGGCGUUAAGUUGCAGGGUAUAGACCCGAAACCCGGUGAUCUAGCCAUGGGCAGGUUGAAGGUUGGGUAACACUAACUGGAGGACCGAACCGACUAAUGUUGAAAAAUUAGCGGAUGACCUGUGGCUGGGGGUGAAAGGCCAAUCAAACCGGGAGAUAGCUGGUUCUCCCCGAAAGCUAUUUAGGUAGCGCCUCGUGAAUUCAUCUCCGGGGGUAGAGCACUGUUUCGGCUAGGGGGCCAUCCCGGCUUACCAACCCGAUGCAAACUGCGAAUACCGGAGAAUGUUAUCACGGGAGACACACGGCGGGUGCUAACGUCCGUCGUGAAGAGGGAAACAACCCAGACCGCCAGCUAAGGUCCCAAAGUCAUGGUUAAGUGGGAAACGAUGUGGGAAGGCCCAGACAGCCAGGAUGUUGGCUUAGAAGCAGCCAUCAUUUAAAGAAAGCGUAAUAGCUCACUGGUCGAGUCGGCCUGCGCGGAAGAUGUAACGGGGCUAAACCAUGCACCGAAGCUGCGGCAGCGAACGUAUCACCCAAGACAACUUUACGGAGUUGACGAUUGACGGAGCGAAGCGACGUCAAAGCGUUCAUUAAAGUCGAGUUGGCUUAGGGAUACGUUCGUUGGGUAGGGGAGCGUUCUGUAAGCCUGUGAAGGUGUGUCGUGAGGCAUGCUGGAGGUAUCAGAAGUGCGAAUGCUGACAUAAGUAACGAUAAAGCGGGUGAAAAGCCCGCUCGCCGGAAGACCAAGGGUUCCUGUCCAACGUUAAUCGGGGCAGGGUGAGUCGACCCCUAAGGCGAGGCCGAAAGGCGUAGUCGAUGGGAAACGGGUUAAUAUUCCCGUACUUGGUGUUACUGCGAAGGGGGGACGGAGAAGGCUAUGUUGGCCGGGCGACGGUUGUCCCGGUUUAAGCGUGUAGGUGUGUGUUCCAGGUAAAUCCGGUUCACUUUAACACUGAGGCGUGACGACGAGGCACUACGGUGCUGAAGCAACAAAUGCCCUGCUUCCAGGAAAAGCCUCUAAGCAUCAGGUAACACGAAAUCGUACCCCAAACCGACACAGGUGGUCAGGUAGAGAAUACCAAGGCGCUUGAGAGAACUCGGGUGAAGGAACUAGGCAAAAUGGUGCCGUAACUUCGGGAGAAGGCACGCUGACACGUAGGUGAAGUGAUUUACUCA